GAAGCUUGUGGGCAAACUAUUAGCUAGAGAACGCUCUAAGUUUACAUCGAACGUACAAUAUGUACUAAAUUUGCUUCAGUUUUUGUCCAAGUUCUAGUUUUAGACUGAAACUACCUUGAUGGUAACGUUGCAGUUUUUUGCAGAGCACGUGGUCUGAUGGACCCACCCGAGCGUCUGGGUCCUGUAGGUCUUCAAUCCGGAUGAAGGUGUCGAGGAUUUCUGGAUGGGCAUAAUGCAGUGCACUUUAAGGUGAGACAAGCUUCUGACGAGGUAUUUACCUGAUUGUCUGCAGGGCAAGGGUCUUUU